ACGAAGAUGCGGGCCUGGAGCUCCUCGGCGCCAGGGUCGGUUUCUGACUCUUCGUAGAAGUCCGGGGAGAGGCGGUCUCGCCCCGAGUACUCAUCUGGGAGCGUGUGGGGUGAAGACAGCAACAGACACAGAAGGAAACCUGCCGUACUUCCUCAUCCCGGAAGCUCAGUAGCCAGAAGAAUGCAAAAUGAAACAAAGUGGAAGACAUUUUCAGAGUCGAUGCAGGACUGAGUAGCCACAUGCCCUGCGGUGGAAAGAGCGCGAGAGAGGCGCCGACGGGCCACUAACCAAUGGACGGGAC